rnacentral:rRNA from 1 species
AAGCCGCGAGGUAGAGCAAAUCUCAAAAAGACAUCUCAGUUCAGAUUGCAGGCUGCAACUCGCCUGCAUGAAGUCGGAAUUGCUAGUAAUCGUAGGUCAGCAUACUACGGUGAAUACGUUCCCGGGCCUUGUACACACCGCCCGUCAAACCAUGAGAGUUGGCAACACCCGAAGUCGGUAGUCUAACCGCAAGGAGGACGCCGCCGAAGGUGGGGUUGAUGAUUAGGGUUAAGUCGUAACAAGGUACC